AAAACUAUACUUUCAGGGAUCAUUUCUAUAGUGUUUUACUAGAGAAAUCUCAGUGAUCGUGUGGAGUAUUGAU
rnacentral:snoRNA from 1 species